rnacentral:rRNA from 1 species
UCUCCGUAGGUGAACCUGCGGAGGGAUCAUUACAAGUGACCCCGGUCUAACCACCGGGAUGUUCAUAACCCUUUGUUGUCCGACUCUGUUGCCUCCGGGGCGACCCUGCCUUCGGGCGGGGGCUCCGGGUGGACACUUCAAACUCUUGCGUAACUUUGCAGUCUGAGUAAACUUAAUUAAUAAAUUAAAACUUUUAACAACGGAUCUCUUGGUUCCGGCAUCGAUGAGGAACGCAGCGAAAUGCGAUAAGUAAUGUGAAUUGCAGAAUUCAGUGAAUCAUCGAAUCUUUGAACGCACAUUGCGCCCCCUGGUAUUCCGGGGGGCAUGCCUGUUCGAGCGUCAUUUCACCACUCAAGCCUCGCUUGGUAUUGGGCAACGCGGUCCGCCGCGUGCCUCAAAUCGACCGGCUGGGUCUUCUGUCCCCUAAGCGUUGUGGAAACUAUUCGCUAAAGGGUGUUCGGGAGGCUACGCCGUAAAACAACCCCAUUUCUAAGGUUGACCUCGGAUCAGGUAGGGAUACCCGCUGAACUUAAGCAUAUCA